UGAGGAAUAUUGGUCAAUGGAGGCAACUCUGAACCAGCCAAGUCGCGUGAAGGAUGAAGGUCUUAUGGAUUGUAAACUUCUUUUGCAAGGGGAUAAAGUGGGGGGCGUGUCCUCCUUUGCAUGUACCUUGCGAAUAAGGAUCGGCUAACUCCGUGCCAGCAGCCGCGGUAAUACGGAGGAUCCGAGCGUUAUCCGGAUUUAUUGGGUUUAAAGGGUGCGCAGGCGGGAUGUUAAGUCGGCGGUGAAAUUUUGCAGCUCAACUGUAAAAGUGCCUUCGAUACUGGCUGUCUUGAGUGUGGAUGAAGUAGGCGGAAUUUGUGGUGUAGCGGUGAAAUGCUUAGAUAUCACGAGGAACUCCGAUUGCGCAGGCAGCUUACUAAACCACUACUGACGCUCAUGCACGAAGGCGUGGGGAUCAAACAG
rnacentral:rRNA from 1 species